rnacentral:rRNA from 1 species
GAUGAACGCUAGCGGCAGGCCUAAUACAUGCAAGUCGAACGAUACUUCCCAGCUUGCUGGGGAGGAAAGUGGCGCACGGGUGCGUAACGCGUAUGCAACCCACCUUAAUCAGGGGGAUAGCCCGGAGAAAUCCGGAUUAACACCGCAUAAAAACACAGGAUAGCAUUAUCCAAUGUUCAAAUAUUUAUAGGAUUAAGAUGGGCAUGCGUGACAUUAGCUAGUUGGCGGGGUAACGGCCCACCAAGGCUUCGAUGUCUAGGGGAUCUGAGAGGAUGACCCCCACACUGGUACUGAGACACGGACC